rnacentral:tRNA from 1 species
GUCCCCUUCGUCUAGCGAGUUAGGACUCCGCCCUUUCACGGCGGCAACAGGGGUUCGAAUCCCUAGGGGACGCCA